rnacentral:rRNA from 1 species
UACGUAGGGGGCAAGCGUUGUCCGGAUUCAUUGGGCGUAAAGAGCGUGUAGGCGGCCAGGUAGGUCGGUUGUGAAAACUGGAGGCUCAACCUUCAGAGGUCGACCGAAACCAUCUGGCUAGAGUCCGGGAGAGGAGAGUGGAAUUCCUGGUGUAGCGGUGAAAUGCGUAGAUAUCUGGAGGAACACCGGUGGCGAAGGCGGCAUCCUGGACCGGUAUUGACACUGAGGCGCGAAAGCCAGGGGAGCAAACGGG